CAGCCGCCACGGUAAUACGAAGGGUGCAAGCGUUGAUCGGAAUUACUGGGCGUAAAGGGCGCGUAGGCGGUUUGACAAGUCUGAUGUGAAAUCUCUGGGCUCAACCCAGAGUCUGCAUCGGAAACUGUCGAGCUUGAGUAUGGGAGAGGUGAGUGGAAUUUCCGGUGUAGCGGUGAAAUGCGUAGAUAUCGGAAGGAACACCUGUGGCGAAAGCGGCUCACUGGACCAUUACUGACGCUGAGGCGCGAAAGCUAGGGGAGCAAACAGGAUUAGAUACCCCAGUAGUCCCUGUCUCUUAUAC
rnacentral:rRNA from 1 species